rnacentral:rRNA from 1 species
AGAGUUUGAUCAUGGCUCAGAUUGAACGCUGGCGGCAGGCCUAACACAUGCAAGUCGAGCGGUAGCACAGAGAGCUUGCUCUCGGGUGACGAGCGGCGGACGGGUGAGUAAUGUCUGGGAAGCUGCCUGAUGGAGGGGGAUAACUACUGGAAACGGUAGCUAAUACCGCAUAACGUCGCAAGACCAAAGUGGGGGACCUUCGGGCCUCAUGCCAUCAGAUGUGCCCAGAUGGGAUUAGCUAGUAGGUGGGGUAAUGGCUCACCUAGGCGACGAUCCCUAGCUGGUCUGAGAGGAUGACCAGCCACACUGGAACUGAGACACGGUCCAGACUCCUACGGGAGGCAGCAGUGGGGAAUAUUGCACAAUGGGCGCAAGCCUGAUGCAGCCAUGCCGCGUGUAUGAAGAAGGCCUUCGGGUUGUAAAGUACUUUCAGCGAGGAGGAAGGCAUUAAGGUUAAUAACCUUGGUGAUUGACGUUACUCGCAGAAGAAGCACCGGCUAACUCCGUGCCAGCAGCCGCGGUAAUACGGAGGGUGCAAGCGUUAAUCGGAAUUACUGGGCGUAAAGCGCACGCAGGCGGUCUGUCAAGUCGGAUGUGAAAUCCCCGGGCUCAACCUGGGAACUGCAUUCGAAACUGGCAGGCUAGAGUCUUGUAGAGGGGGGUAGAAUUCCAGGUGUAGCGGUGAAAUGCGUAGAGAUCUGGAGGAAUACCGGUGGCGAAGGCGGCCCCCUGGACAAAGACUGACGCUCAGGUGCGAAAGCGUGGGGAGCAAACAGGAUUAGAUACCCUGGUAGUCCACGCCGUAAACGAUGUCGACUUGGAGGUUGUGCCCUUGAGGCGUGGCUUCCGGAGCUAACGCGUUAAGUCGACCGCCUGGGGAGUACGGCCGCAAGGUUAAAACUCAAAUGAAUUGACGGGGGCCCGCACAAGCGGUGGAGCAUGUGGUUUAAUUCGAUGCAACGCGAAGAACCUUACCUACUCUUGACAUCCAGAGAACUUAGCAGAGAUGCUUUGGUGCCUUCGGGAACUCUGAGACAGGUGCUGCAUGGCUGUCGUCAGCUCGUGUUGUGAAAUGUUGGGUUAAGUCCCGCAACGAGCGCAACCCUUAUCCUUUGUUGCCAGCGAUUCGGUCGGGAACUCAAAGGAGACUGCCAGUGAUAAACUGGAGGAAGGUGGGGAUGACGUCAAGUCAUCAUGGCCCUUACGAGUAGGGCUACACACGUGCUACAAUGGCAUAUACAAAGAGAAGCGACCUCGCGAGAGCAAGCGGACCUCAUAAAGUAUGUCGUAGUCCGGAUUGGAGUCUGCAACUCGACUCCAUGAAGUCGGAAUCGCUAGUAAUCGUAGAUCAGAAUGCUACGGUGAAUACGUUCCCGGGCCUUGUACACACCGCCCGUCACACCAUGGGAGUGGGUUGCAAAAGAAGUAGGUAGCUUAACCUUCGGGAGGGCACUUACCACUUUGUGAUUCAUGACUGGGGUGAAGUCGUAACAAGGUAACCGUAGGGGAACCUGCGGUUGGAUCACCU